rnacentral:rRNA from 1 species
UACAGAGGUCUCAACCGUUGUUCGGAUUUAUUGGGCGUAAAGGGUGCGUAGGCGGCGGGGUAAGUCAGGUGUGAAAUCUCGGGGCUCAACCCCGAAACUGCACUUGAUACUGCCUUGCUCGAGUACUGGAGAGGAGACUGGAAUUUACGGUGUAGCAGUGAAAUGCGUAGAGAUCAUGAGGAAGACCAGUGGCGAAGGCGGGUCUCUGGACAGUUCCUGACACUGAGGCACGAAGGCCAGGGGAGCAAACGGG